rnacentral:rRNA from 1 species
AUACCCGCGCCCCAAGUGGUGGUCGAUAUUAUUGAGCCUAAAACGUCCGUAGCCGGUCUUCUAAAUCCUUGGGUAAAUCGGGCAGCUUAACUGUCCGAAGUCCGGGGAGACUGGGAGACUUGGGACCGGGAGAGGUCAGAGGUACUUCUGGGGUAGGGGUAAAAUCCUGUAAUCCUGGAAGGACCACCGGUGGCGAAGGCGUCUGACUAGAACGGAUCCGACGGGGAGGGACGAAGCCCUGGGGCGCAAACGGGAUUAGAUACCCCGGUAGUCCAGGGUGUAAACGCUGCGGGCUUGGUGUUGGGGGUCCUUAGUGGGCGCCCAGUGCCGGAGAGAAGUUGUUAAGCCUGCUGCUUGGGGAGUAUGUCCGCAAGGAUGAAACUUAAAGGAAUUGGCGGGG